rnacentral:rRNA from 1 species
UACGUAGGGGGCUAGCGUUGUCCGGAAUCAUUGGGCGUAAAGAGCGUGUAGGCGGCCCGGUAAGUCCGCUGUGAAAGUCGGGGGGCUCAACCCUCGAAUGCCGGUGGAUACUGCCGGGCUAGAGGGUGGUAGAGGCGAGUGGAAUUCCCGGUGUAGCGGUGAAAUGCGCAGAUAUCGGGAAGGAACACCAGUAGCGAAGGCGGCUCGGCUGGGCCAUUCCUGGACGCUGAGACGCGAAAAGC